CCGACUACGCCGACCCGGGCUUCACCGAGGAGGA
rnacentral:sRNA from 1 species